rnacentral:lncRNA from 1 species
UUCACGCAGCCGAGGCAGGUGUUUCCAGUGUGGCCAGGAGGACUACUUUCAGUCGGACUGUCUGAGGAGUCCAUUGCCAGCACCAUCUUCGGCAUCUGCACCAGCAUCACCAGGUCCUAGUCAUGGGACAAUUUUUGCGCAUCACCAGGUAGGACGGCCGCCAGUUCAGCGGCAGGCGGAGGGGUCACGACAGGCCCCGAGCGGGCGCAUGUACGCGGCCCAGACUGAGGAGGCGGCGGCAGCCGAGAAUGUGGUCGCAGGUAUCAUUUUACUUUAUGGUAUUCGAG